GAUGAACGCUGGCGGCGUGCCUAAUACACGCAAGUCGAGCGAACGGACGAGAAGCUUGCUUCUCUGAUGUUAGCGGCGGACGGGUGAGUAACACGUGGAUAACCUACCUAUAGGACUGGGAUAACUUCGGGAAACCGGAGCUAAUACCGGAUGAUAUUUUGAACCGCAUGGUUCAAAAGUGAAAGACGGUCUUGCUGUCACUUAUAGAUGGAUCCGCGCUGCAUUAGCUAGUUGGUAAGGUAACGGCUUACCAAGGCAACGAUGCAUAGCCGACCUGAGAGGGUGAUCGGCCACACUGGAACUGAGACACGGUCCAGACUCCUACGGGAGGCAGCAGUAGGGAAUCUUCCGCAAUGGGCGAAAGCCUGACGGAGCAACGCCGCGUGAGUGAUGAAGGUCUUCGGAUCGUAAAACUCUGUUAUUAGGGAAGAACAUAUGUGUAAGUAACUGUGCACAUCUUGACGGUACCUAAUCAGAAAGCCACGGCUAACUACGUG
rnacentral:rRNA from 1 species